GAUGAACGCUAGCGGGAGGCCUAACACAUGCAAGUCGAACGGGAUUGGGAGCUUGCUCCCAUGAGAGUGGCGCACGGGUGAGUAACGCGUAUGCAACCUACCUUUAACUGAGGGAUAGCCCAUAGAAAUGUGGAUUAAUACCUCAUAGUUCUUUUUGUCCGCAUGGACAGAUAGAUAAAGCUCCGGCGGUUAAAGAUGGGCAUGCGUGACAUUAGCUAGUCGGUAAGGUAACGGCUUACCAAGGCUACGAUGUCUAGGGGUUCUGAGAGGAUGAUCCCCCACACUGGUACUGAGACACGGACCAGACUCCUACGGGAGGCAGCAGUGAGGAAUAUUGGUCAAUGGGCGCAAGCCUGAACCAGCCAUCCCGCGUGAAGGAUGAAGGCCCUAUGGGUCGUAAACUUCUUUUAUACACCAAGAAAAACACCCACGUGUGGGUGCCCGACGGUAGUGUAUGAAUAAGCAUCGGCUAACUCCGUGCCAGCCGCCGCGGUAACAC
rnacentral:rRNA from 1 species